UGCACUGGAGGCAGACUGGAAUGCUUGUUCAGCCUCAGUAAAGACGUCUGGUCUCAUGAUAGUUGGAAAGAUGAAGCUUCUGGUACUCUGUGAAUUUUUGUUUGUCUUUCUUUUGUUUCUCAAUGCCUUUACCGCAGAAGGUAGGAAGGUUAAAGAAGUCAGUCGCUCAAAACUAUCCAAACUCAACAAAAAGGUGCCUAAAGAUAUGAAUUUCAAAAUGAGCCUGAUGGAAAUAAGGAAAUACUGCAAGAAUUGUCCUCAGAAAGCCCUUAAAAAAGUUCCUGGACCCCUUCCACAGUUAAAAUGAGCAGAGUGAGAACAGGAUGAAAAACAGCUGCCUGCUGGCACAUCUCACAGAGCUUUACUUGGUGGAGGGCCCUGCUUGCACAGACAGGACAUGAGUGUAUCUUAUUAUUUUCAUUUGGGAAAGGCUUCACUACUGUUUAUUCAUUCAUUCAGGCUCCAUCAUCUUGAUAACAUUAGCCUGGCAGCUAAAGAGUCAGGAAAAGCUGUCUAGCUGCCACCAGAUUUCAUGUCACUUAUAUAUUCCUCUGCACCAAGCAGGGAUUUAGGUCCUCAGGUGAGAGGAUAAGGAGACCCUGGUUGAAGACCUUGCUGAAUCAGUAUAUUUAGUGUUUAUGGAUCGCCUGACAGGUGGUAAAGGACUGAUAUUAUUGUUUCUAGUUAUUGGUAUAUACGCAUAUUUAACCUUUUCUAUGAAUGAUUUAUUUUGUGUUGACAAAACUAUCGUGUUUGUAGCUAGGCACAUGAUGAUUUUUCCUGCAGCUUUUGCUCUCAGUGCUUGAAAUCCACUUGAAAUUACAUUUCUAGUGAAUGAGAUAGAGUUCAUCAUUUAGAAACAGCUGAGAAACUAGAUAAGCAGAUAGCUAAAAUAGUGGUAAAAGACCAGAUUUGUGUACAGUGGUAAGCCUUUGAGUAUCUUCUCUGAGGGUUUAAAUCUGACUUUAAAUGCAAAGAGGCCCGUUUAAGUUCCUAGAAGAAUGUCAUCAGGUGGUUAUUAAACAGCAUACUGAAAAGUGUUAAAGCUAAUCAGAUUAAAUAUCUUCCGCCUGAAGCCAGAAGGCAUCUGCUCUUUCAAGACACCUGAGUUGUGUGAUCACCCAAUAAACAAAAAUUGCUGGAGCAUGAAAUUAAUGCAAAGAAUAAUACCAAAGGGCUGAACAACAGAGAAACUGGAGCACGCUCUGCUGACAUCAUUAGCAGUGAUUGGUGUCUUCACUCACAUAUCUUUUGUCCUUUCCUAAUUGUCCUCUGCAUAUGCUAUUUCUCUGCCUGGAGGUGAGUCCUUAAAACAGAAUUAUUUGGUGGAUCGUAAAUUCAUUUUUUGUUCUAGUGAAUAUGAGGAGGAGUAGGAAGAUUUCCUGCUCUUGGGGAAAUUGCAGAUUGGAAAUAAUAAUUUUUCCCUCAGUACUCAUAGUACCACUGCUUCUCUUAAAAUAAUUUUCAGUACAAUAGGAAUGGUCUCAGUGCCCUUCAGAACUGGGGGGAGUUGAAUGGGGACAGUCAGAGGCCUGUUGUAGCCCACACAGGCAAAUGCAAUUCCCAAAGGUCACAUUUAUGGGCAGUUACAUGAGGCCAUGCCCUCACUGUCAAUGUUUCUAUUGUAACGAGCAAUUGAACCUAUUUCUGAGUCUCCUGUGUGCUUAUUAUUGUUUUAUUUUCUUAUUAGUUUUGAGAUUAGAUAGAUCUGACUCUCAGCUUCCUAUUUUUGAAGAGCUGACCAUGCAUAGCAUUUUUAUAUCGAGGAUGAAGGAGCUGCCAGUUCUCCUCACACGAACUUUGAGUCAGGAGGAUGGCGAAGCAGUUAUGUUUGAUUGUUCUGUUGCUGAUCACUGGGCCAACUUAUUUUAUUUCUAUUUUGUCUUUUGUAGAAGGAAUCCCUAGAAUACAAAUGACAAAUACAUGUGAAGAGAAUUUUUGGUAUUAAA